GGGUGGCUGACUGGUUACGGUAUUCGCUUUGUAAGCGAAUGGUUCUGGGUUCGAAUCCCAAUUGCACCCA
rnacentral:tRNA from 2 species